rnacentral:rRNA from 1 species
AAUAGAUACCCCGGUAGUCCACGCCGUAAACGAUGAGUGCUAAGUGCUAGAGGGUUUCCGCCCUUUAGUGCUGCAGCUAACGCAUUAAGCACUCCGCCUGGGGAGUACGGUCGCAAGACUGAAACUCAAAGGAAUUGACGGGGGCCCGCACAAGCGGUGGAGCAUGUGGUUUAAUUCGAAGCAACGCGAAGAACCUUACCAGGUCUUGACAUCCUCUGACAACUCUAGAGAUAGAGCGUUCCCCUUCGGGGGACAGAGUGACAGGUGGUGCAUGGUUGUCGUCAGCUCGUGUCGUGAGAUGUUGGGUUAAGUCCCGCAACGAGCGCAACCCUUGAUCUUAGUUGCCAGCAUUUAGUUGGGCACUCUAAGGUGACUGCCGGUGACAAACCGGAGGAAGGUGGGGAUGACGUCAAAUCAUCAUGCCCCUUAUGACCUGGGCUACACACGUGCUACAAUGGAUGAUACAAAGGGCUGCAAGACCGCGAGGUCAAGCCAAUCCCAUAAAACCAUUCUCAGUUCGGAUUGU